rnacentral:rRNA from 1 species
ACAGAGGUGGCAAGCGUUGUUCGGAAUUACUGGGCGUAAAGGGCGCGUAGGCGGUUCGGUAAGUCCUGUGUGAAAUCCCUCGGCUCAACUGAGGAACUGCACGGGAGACUGCCGGGCUUGAGUUCGGGAGAGGGAAGCGGAAUUCCGGGUGUAGCGGUGAAAUGCGUAGAUAUCAGGAGGAACACCGGCGGUGUAGACGGCUGUCUGGACAGUAACUGACGCUGAGACACGAAAGCGUGGGGAGCAAACAGGA